GAUGAAGAACGCAGCGAAAUGCGAUAAGUAGUGUGAAUUGCAGAAUUCAGUGAAUCAUCGAAUCUUUGAACGCACAUUGCGCCCGCCAGUAUUCUGGCGGGCAUGCCUGUUCGAGCGUCAUUUCAACCAUCAAGCCCCCGGCUUGUGUUGGGGACCUGCGGCUGCCGCAGGCCCUGAAAAGCAGUGGCGGGCUCGCUGUCACACCGAGCGUAGUAGCAUACAUCUCGCUCUGGGCGUGCUGCGGGUUCCGGCCGUUAAACCACCUUCAUAACCCAAGGUUGACCUCGGAUCAGGUAGGAAGACCCGCUGAACUUAAGCAUAUCAAUAAGCGGAGGA
rnacentral:misc_RNA from 1 species